AUAGAAACAACCCGCUCGCCAACAUGAGGGUGUCAACCGGUCACAAAGAUGGCACACAGAAUACAGUCAAGCAGAAGUAUGGAAGGCACUGGAACUUUUGAUGACCCUGGUAACCCUCCGAAGCAACUAACCUGGGAAUAUCGUUCUUUUAGAGGACAAGGUUAUCUAAAAAGCAGAUUAUGGCAUCUGUCAUGAGGAGAAACAUGAAACAUGAAGGAAAAUUCUCUUGCAUAUUGAAAUACUGAGAAAAGAGCAGCAUUUAUUGUUUUAGAGGAAAGAGAACAAGAUUCACAGCAAAGAAACAUCUUUGAGUUUCAAUAAGACUUUUUCAUUUUAAAAUCUAUAAUAUGAGGGUAUAAUGUUUAUUUCACAAACAACAUAACUGAGAAAAACAAGACAAGUCUGGCUAUCUCAUUGCUGAAGAAGUAAAGAUUAUGCAGGUUUGGUCGCCAGCUGGUGGCGCUAGUGGGAGAAGAUGGAAACUUUAGGAGUUGGG